rnacentral:rRNA from 1 species
UACGAAGGGGGCUAGCGUUGCUCGGAAUCACUGGGCGUAAAGCGCACGUAGGCGGACUCUUAAGUCGGGGGUGAAAUCCUGGAGCUCAACUCCAGAACUGCCUUCGAUACUGAGAGUCUUCGAGUUCGGGAGAGGUGAGUGGAACUGCGAGUGUAGAGGUGAAAUUCGUAGAUAUUCGCAAGAACACCAGUGGCGAAGGCGGCUCACUGGCCCGAUACUGACGCUGAGGUGCGAAAGCGUGGGGAGGCAAACAGG